rnacentral:lncRNA from 1 species
GCAGCAUGAAAAAAGUCACAAAUAGCGUGAAUGGAGGGAUGACGGGAAGAACCCUUCGCAGUGAAUAUUGAGGCCCUCAACACGGGCCUAUUGCUGAAGCCCUGGGAGUCCAUGGGGGUUGGUGAGGCGCAAGUGAGCACAAACUUUCAGAGGAGUCCUGCAGUCUGGAGGAGUCCUUGAAGAAACCCGACUGUCAUGGAAACUAAGAAUGGAACGGGUAUGGGGGCCCAGCGUGAAGUGUCGGGAGGAAGUGGUCAGGGUACUAGAUGGUACAAGUGGAGAAUCAGUGAGCACAGAGAGAUUCCAUUGGCGAGUGAACUGGGAGGUGUUCCGUCCUCUUCAAUGAACAAAGAGGCACUACAGACACUGGACCCUAAGGCUCCAAAGGAUAUUCCUCCUCUAGCCAGCACGAUCCCCGGAGAGCUUGCCACCAUUCCAUGUUGCCCAGCUCCUUCUCUCUUUGUCUUCUGGAACAAAAUAAACCCAAUGAAUUCCACUUUUGGCUCCUGGCCUGGUCAGUCACAGAUAACUGAGCAGCAGGACAAAGCCGAGGAGGAAAAUGCAGCUUGAGGUGCAGCUUGCUGAUGCUCCAACAGAAUGGUUCCACAGCAACCUCACUCCAGAUCACCCAGGAACAUAUAAG